GUAGGAUGCGAGCGUUGUCCGGAUUUAUUGGGCGUAAAGAGUUCGUAGGUGGUUUGUUAAGUCUGAUGUUAAAGACUGGGGCUCAACCCUGGAAAUGCAUUGGAUACUGGCAGACUUGAGUGUGGUAGAGGCUAGUGGAAUUCCCAGUGUAGCGGUGAAAUGCGUAGAUAUUGGGAAGAACACCGGUGGCGUAGGCGACUAGCUGGGCCAUAACUGACACUGAGGAACGAAAGCCAGGGUAGCGAAUGGGAUUAGAUACCCCAGUAGUCCUGGCCGUAAACGAUGGAUACUAGGCGUAUCGGGUAUCGACCCCUGAUGUGCCGCAGCUAACGCGAUAAGUAUCCCGCCUGAGUAGUACGGCCGCAAGGUUG
rnacentral:rRNA from 1 species